rnacentral:rRNA from 2 species
CUGCAAGCGGGGCAGGGGCCCGAGUCCUACGGGAGGCAGCAGUGGGGAAUAUUGGACAAUGGGCGAAAGCCUGAUCCAGCCAUGCCGCGUGUGUGAAGAAGGUCUUCGGAUUGUAAAGCACUUUAAGUUGGGAGGAAGGGCAUUAACCUAAUACGUUGGUGUCUUGACGUUACCGACAGAAUAAGCACCGGCUAACUCUG